GUUUUUGACUUUUCAAUUAAGUUUGAAGGACAUGCUCUAUUUCUCUACAAACUAGUGGAAGAUAUCUCCAGCGGCAGUACUUUAACUGUGAGCAAUUAUUUCCUUCAUGUUGUUCCCACCGGAAACUGUCUGCUCCGUAUGUCAUGUAGAACAAAUGUGAGAAGUUUGACAAUGAUGACUUCUUUGGAUCAAAUUGAGUUUUUAGGAAUCACAUUCUUACUUAAUAGCUGCCCUGAAUUAGAGAAGCUCACUAUCGAAUUGGGUCUCCCCAAAAAAUAUUUGGAUUAUGAGUUACCUGACAACUUUAACCUCGAGAUGUUUUGGACUGAUCACGCAAGGGCUUAUAAUUGCAUGGUAUAUACUCUUAGAGAGGUGGAGAUUAUGGGCUUCAAAG